GAUGAAGAACGCAGCGAAAUGCGAUAAGUAGUGUGAAUUGCAGAAUUCAGUGAAUCAUCGAAUCUUUGAACGCACAUUGCGCCCCUUGGUAUCCCGAGGGGCAUGCCUGUUCGAGCGUCAUUUCACCACUCAAGCCUCGCUUGGUAUUGGGCAACGCGGUCCGCCGCGUGCCUCAAAUCGACCGGCUGGGUCUUCUGUCCCCUAAGCGUUGUGGAAACUAUUCGCUAAAGGGUGUUCGGGAGGCUACGCCGUAAAACAACCCCAUUUCUAAGGUUGACCUCGGAUCAGGUAGGGAUACCCGCUGAACUUAAGCAUAUCAAUAAGCGGAGGA
rnacentral:misc_RNA from 1 species